UACGGAGGGGCUAGCGUUAUUCGGAAUUACUGGGCGUAAAGCGCACGUAGGCGGCUUUGUAAGUUAGAGGUGAAAGCCUGGAGCUCAACUCCAGAACUGCCUUUAAGACUGCAUCGCUUGAAUCCAGGAGAGGUGAGUGGAAUUCCGAGUGUAGAGGUGAAAUUCGUAGAUAUUCGGAAGAACACCAGUGGCGAAGGCGGCUCACUGGACUGGUAUUGACGCUGAGGUGCGAAAGCGUGGGAGCAACAGG
rnacentral:rRNA from 1 species